UGAUCCUGUGGAGAGAGAAACAAUAGGUGGGUAGUUAAAAAAAAAAAAAAGGAAGGAAAAAGCUUAAGAGAACUUGGCUAAGCAUUCUUCUAUUUCCUAAUGGGGUGAUUUAACUUGAUGCUUUUAUUCGAGGCUAUCUGAUGGAUGUCUCUGAGAGCAAGACCCGGAGGUGUACUGGAAAGCUCUUUUAAGAUAACUACCUUGUAUAACUGACUGCACAGAACACUGCUUACUGUAUUUGUGGUUUAAGGGACGGAGUUGGGAAGACACUCUUCUAGAGAGUUCUAGUAUCGUGGAUACUGAGGUCAUUCAGGUACUCUGGAAAACCAUUUACAGCCCUUCGGACCUCAGUCUUGUCAUCUAUAAAAUGAGAAGGCUGGGAGAGGUGCUCUAGGAAAUUUCUGAUGACAUUAAAUUGUCAGGCAUCUGUUGUUGUGCUGGGCACGAAAGGCCAGGACAUGGAGUCAGGAUAGAGCAUCCCAGCCAUUUCUCUGUGUUUUAUAGUCAUUUCUUCCCCAAAUGCAAACUAACCUUUCAAAAACAGUACCAUUGUUUCAUUACUAAGAAAUUGCUUUUCCAUAUGCAAAAUAAUUAAAAACUUCCAUCUCCUACCACUGCAAAGCAUACUUUACUUUUUCCUGCCUUCUGUUAGUCAUGAGUGAGAGAAAUUAAUUUUACUUGAGUUUUUUUAUGGAGGCUUCACCAAGAAUGUCAUGUCUUACAAGAUGAUGCCUAAACAAUCAGUGUUUUACAGCCAGUCUUCAUAUGUCAAAACAAACAGUCCUCAGUGGAGGGUUUUCCUAUUUUUGUGUAGUACUGUUUUUGCUAUGAACUCCUUUUCCACAUAACAAAGUUCUUCCUACUUCUCCUCUAAGAGCAAAGAACUGACAAAUGCUUUGAUUGCUUGAGGACGAGACAUAGCCCCUACAGAAAGCCUGCAUAAGGUAAGAACAAUUUUACGAACAACCCUGUUGACUCGCAUGUAAGCCUCAGGCUAUUUUUGCAGGUGUAGGAGAAUCUUUAGAAUUUUGCUUCUGUUGCCCGCCCCCACCCCCGCAUUCCUGUCGACCUUGAGCUUGUUUAUUUACCCCAAAGUAAAAUAAACCCCAGACAAGUUUUUUUUUUUUCUCUAUAGAUGGAUCCCUCAAAAUCCUGUGACUAAUGUAAACAUGAUGUACAACCAUUUCCUCUGUCAGCCCCACCAUGGUUCUGACUUCCUUUUCUGUAUCGAAAGUUCUACUGACCUCCAUGCCCCAGGUCACUAAAUCAUGAAGCCAAGAACGUCAAAGUAUCAAUUCCUGCUUAGGUGAUUUCAACACCGUCCCCUGUUCCACCCUCCACGAUGCUGCAGAGGUACCAGAAGAGGAAAGUGGCCCAUCUGGGCAGGUCAUGUUACCACAGGGUGGGCAAAUACUGAGUACGCUCAGGAUUUUCUCAUCUGUUUUUAGCAUUUAAACCUGAUCUUCCGGGCGCCGGGCUCCUUAGACAGUCCCAUGAUAAUGUUAUCACAGUGCUCUGUUAUUUUCUUUAGAAUCCUCAGCCAUUUCUUUCUGUUGAACCCUCCCCCUUUUUACAGCUUUAUCGAGGUAUGAUUUAUAGAUCACACAAUUAAUUCAUCCAUUGUAAAUAUGCAGUUUGAGCAUUUCUAAUAAACUCAUAUAGAUGUACAGUCAUCACCACCAUCCAGUUGAACUUUCAUUAUCUUGCUUUAUCUCUUCUAAAAUCCAAUCCAACUUCCCAGGCUAAUUUUAUAGUAAGAAGGAAGUUCUUUCUCUUUGUUACCUCAAAGCAAGUAAACAUCUUUUUAGAAAUAGUGAAUAUGUUUCCAUAGUCCUUAAAAAUGUUAGUAGGGUUAUUUACAUUGGGGAGGGUAUGAUUUGGGCGAUAGUUUAAAAAGGAAGGUAAGAGUUAGUUCCCCUUUUAUUGCCCACAUAAAUCUCUUAUUCUCGGUCAUGCUAUCAGGGCGUGUUAACCCCAACCACAUAGGGUGCACGACGGCCAUUUAUGGAACAAAAGACUUCGUACCAAGUAGAGUGUUGCACAGAAAAACAUGAAUGCCUUGGCUGAGUAAUUGUCGGUGAAGAAUACUGAAUAUACCAUGGACUACCAGAAGAACAAACAAAUCUGUCUUGGAAGAAAUAUAGCCAGAAGGCUCCUUAGAAGGGAGGAUAGCACAAGACUUUGUCUCAGAGCUGCCAACCAAGGAGCCAAUCAAGUUAUCUGGGCCACAAUCAAAGGCCUGUGCGUCAAAAAUGGCUCCCUAGUUCUCUCUGCACUCAGUUAUUCUAACAUCAAGAAAGAGCUUUCUAAAGACAGUAAUGAAGACACUCGGCAGACUGCAAGGAACGUUCUACAAGACCUUGCCAUGGAUGAGUUCAGUGCUUCAAAGGCCUCUAGCCAUACCUGUCAUCCAGUCGAUCUAGUAACCCACCAGUUACUCUCCGAGCUUGAGCAAGG